rnacentral:misc_RNA from 1 species
AAAAUACGUGCAAAUGUUAAGUGCAAUUUGUACAUAAUCCCUUUUCAAAGCUUCAAUCAAAACAUAAGUGCUCCAUAUAAAUCACAGAACCUAUCCAUCUCGAAAAAAGCUAAAACUUUUGCGUCAACUACUUAGGUUCGAAAUUAAGCUAGCUGACAAGUAGUGUAAGCUGUUACACAUCUCUUACCUAAUGAUAGAAGCCAUAUCAUUCAACCGGUAAUACUACAUUGCUAUCACUUCCAACUUGAAGGCCAAUAAGCAUGAAUACCGUACCCAGUCUUCCAGUUAUCGAGCUGAAUCACCUUCUUAACAGCCCAGAACGAAACGAACAACGCAAAAAGCAUCACCACCCUCUGCACAGUCCUACUCUUUAGACGAACGAGAACAUUAGUCAUAAAAGCCAACAACAAUCCAACAAUCGUGUACAAAAACCCAACCGCGAAUCCUUCAGCUCCCAAUUGCAUCCCUGAUCCUUGAUAAAAGAAAACCAACUUCCCUGGAUCCUCUCUAUCCAUCAUAAACAUAGGCAUUUUCCUAAUUAUAUUAUGCAUUGCACCUGAAACACUGAAAAAGUAAACGAAUAUUGAUCCCGCCAUCCAUACAUGCUUAUCGUGCAAAAGGGUACCUCCAGCAAGUACCCUUUUCACCAAAAAAGGACUCAAAACCAACCCUGCAGCAAUAAUAACGGCCAUCUGCUUCUUCGAAAUCAUCGGUGGUCGAUGAAUAGGACCUACAGUAAGCUUAGUCUUCGCUUCAACAAAUUCAGCCAUUGAUUCAGCAAGCCUGGCAAGAUCAGACCCAUCCAUUUGAAUCGAAUCUUUUUUCAUAUCAGUAGCUGAAGGUGGGACUAAACGUAAAUGGGGUAAUGAAUUAACCCCAAAUAGCGCAAAUGAAGCUUGUGAGUCACCAAAUUCGAUAGUAAAAUAGAAGAUCUUGUUGUUUCCUGGGUUAUUAGCGAGGAAAGAGGAGGAUAAAAGGGAGAACUCAUUUUUUAGAGUAGGUAGUGAAAGUUCGGGUUUUGAAUGGAGUUGUUUAGCGUCAAAGAAGAUGAGAAAUGAAAAGGAUCGUGGGGAUUUAGCCGAGAGGAUUCGACGGAGAAGAUGAUCGGAGAGAUGGAUAACUCCGGUGGGAGAUUGAGAUCGGAGGUUGAUUAGCUCCGGUAGAAGGUCCUCAUGGGAGGAAGAUGAAAAGGAGUGGUUGAUGGGUACGAGGACUAGGAGAAUGGCGAUAAGGGUUAGGGUUUUGGAGAUCGCCAUUGUAGCCUGCGAAGAUUUAGGA